GAUGAACGCUGGCGGCGUGCCUAAUACAUGCAAGUCGAGCGAACAGACGAGGAGCUUGCUCCUCUGACGUUAGCGGCGGACGGGUGAGUAACACGUGGAUAACCUACCUAUAAGACUGGGAUAACUUCGGGAAACCGGAGCUAAUACCGGAUAAUAUAUUGAACCGCAUGGUUCAAUAGUGAAAGACGGUUUUGCUGUCACUUAUAGAUGGAUCCGCGCCGCAUUAGCUAGUUGGUAAGGUAACGGCUUACCAAGGCAACGAUGCGUAGCCGACCUGAGAGGGUGAUCGGCCACACUGGAACUGAGACACGGUCCAGACUCCUACGGGAGGCAGCAGUAGGGAAUCUUCCGCAAUGGGCGAAAGCCUGACGGAGCAACGCGCGUGAGUGAUGAAGGUCUUCGGAUCGUAAAACUCUGUUAUUAGGGAAGAACAAAUGUGUAAGUAACUAUGCACGUCUUGACGGUACCUAAUCAGAAAGCCACGGCUAACUACGUG
rnacentral:rRNA from 1 species